rnacentral:sRNA from 1 species
AGAUGCUGCGGCUCGUCGCGCGGCUCCAGCUGGGGCGCGGUGGUCCCGACGGUCACCCGAAUCGCAGGGAGUCGCCGCUGGAGAGGGGCUCGGCGCCCGGCGGGGACUGCAGGCGAUGACCCAGGAUGCAGCCAGGGGCCACGACAUGCACGGAGGACCGCAUCCAGCAUGCCCUGGAACGCUGCCUGCAUGGACUCAGCCUCAGCCGCCGCUCCACCUCCUGGUCAGCUGGGCUGUGUCUGAACUGCUGGAGCCUGCAGGAGCUGGUCAGCAGGGACCCCGGCCACUUCCUUAUCCUCCUUGAGCAGAUCCUGCAGAAGACCCGAGAGGUCCAGGAGAAGGGCACCUACGACCUGCUCACCCCACUGGCCCUGCUCUUCUAUUCCACUGUUCUUUGUACACCACACUUCCCACCAGACUCGGAUCUCCUUCUGAAGGCAGCCAGCACCUACCACCGGUUCCUGACCUGGCCUGUUCCUUACUGCAGCAUCUGCCAGGAGCUGCUCACCUUCAUUGAUGCUGAACUCAAGGCCCCAGGGAUCUCCUACCAGAGACUGGUGAGGGCUGAGCAGGGCCUGCCCAUCAGGAGUCACCGCAGCUCCACCGUCACCGUGCUGCUGCUGAACCCAGUGGAAGUGCAGGCCGAGUUCCUUGCUGUAGCCAAUAAGCUGAGUACGCCCGGACACUCGCCUCACAGUGCCUACACCACCCUGCUCCUGCACGCCUUCCAGGCCACCUUUGGGGCCCACUGUGACGUCCCGGGCCUGCACUGCAGGCUACAGGCCAAGACCCUGGCAGAGCUUGAGGACAUCUUCACGGAGACCGCAGAGGCACAGGAGCUGGCAUCUGGCAUCGGGGAUGCUGCAGAGGCCCGGCGGUGGCUCAGGACCAAGCUGCAGGCGGUGGGAGAAAAAGCUGGCUUCCCUGGGGUGUUAGACACUGCAAAACCAGGGAAGCUCCAUACCAUCCCCAUCCCUGUCGCCCGGUGCUACACCUACAGCUGGAGCCAGGACAGCUUUGACAUCCUGCAGGAAAUCCUGCUCAAGGAACAGGAGCUGCUCCAGCCAGGGAUCCUGGGAGAUGAUGAAGAGGAGGAAGAGGAGGAGGAGGAGGAGGAGGUGGAGGAGGACUUGGAAACUGACGGGCACUGUGCCGAGAGAGAUUCCCUGCUCUCCACCAGCUCUUUGGCGUCCCACGACUCCACCCUGUCCCUUGCAUCCUCCCAGGCCUCGGGGCCGGCCCUCUCGCGCCACCUGCUGACUUCCUUUGUCUCAGGCCUCUCUGAUGGCAUGGACAGCGGCUACGUGGAGGACAGCGAGGAGAGCUCCUCCGAGUGGCCUUGGAGGCGUGGCAGCCAGGAACGCCGAGGCCACCGCAGGCCUGGGCAGAAGUUCAUCAGGAUCUAUAAACUCUUCAAGAGCACCAGCCAGCUGGUACUGCGGAGGGACUCUCGGAGCCUGGAGGGCAGCUCGGACACGGCCCUGCCCCUGAGGCGGGCAGGGAGCCUCUGCAGCCCCCUGGACGAACCAGUAUCACCCCCUUCCCGGGCCCAGCGCUCCCGCUCCCUGCCCCAGCCCAAACUCGGUACCCAGCUGCCCAGCUGGCUUCUGGCCCCUGCUUCACGCCCCCAGCGCCGCCGCCCCUUCCUGAGUGGAGAUGAGGAUCCCAAGGCUUCCACGCUACGUGUUGUGGUCUUUGGCUCCGAUCGGAUUUCAGGGAAGGUGGCUCGGGCGUACAGCAACCUUCGGCGGCUGGAGAAUAAUCGCCCACUCCUCACACGGUUCUUCAAACUUCAGUUCUUCUACGUGCCUGUGAAGCGAAGUCAUGGGACCAGCCCUGGUGCCUGUCCACCCCCUCGGAGCCAGACGCCCUCACCCCCGACAGACUCCCCUAGGCACACCAGCCCUGGAGAGCUGGGCACCGCCCCAUGGGAGGAGAGCACCAAUGACAUCUCCCACUACCUCGGCAUGCUGGACCCCUGGUAUGAGCGCAAUGUACUGGGCCUCAUGCACCUGCCCCCUGAAGUCCUGUGCCAGUCCCUGAAGGCUGAAGCCCAGGCCCUGGAGGGCUCCCCGACCCAGCUGCCCAUCCUGGCUGACAUGCUACUCUACUACUGCCGCUUUGCCGCCAGACCGGUGCUGCUGCAAGUCUAUCAGACCGAGCUGACCUUCAUCACUGGGGAGAAGACGACAGAGAUCUUCAUCCACUCCUUGGAGCUGGGUCACUCCGCUGCCACACGUGCCAUCAAGGCGUCAGGUCCUGGCAGCAAGCGGCUGGGCAUCGAUGGCGACCGGGAGGCUGUUCCUCUAACACUACAGAUUAUUUACAGCAAGGGGGCCAUCAGUGGACGAAGUCGCUGGAGCAACCUGGAGAAGGUCUGUACCUCCGUGAACCUCAACAAGGCCUGCCGGAAGCAGGAGGAGCUGGGUGAGUGGGGUGCUCAGCGUGGGGUGUGCAGUAGGGAGGUGCUCUGAGCCUGGCCUGAGUGUCCUUGCCCUUCAGAUUCCAGCAUGGAGGCCCUGACGCUAAACCUGACAGAAGUGGUGAAAAGGCAGAACUCCAAAUCCAAGAAGGGCUUUAACCAGAUUAGCACAUCGCAGAUCAAAGUGGACAAGGUGCAGAUCAUCGGCUCCAACAGCUGCCCCUUUGCUGUGUGCCUGGACCAGGAUGAGAGAAAGAUCCUGCAGAGUGUAGUCAGAUGUGAGGUCUCACCGUGCUACAAGCCGGAGAAGAGCGACCUCUCCUCGCCACCCCAGACGCCUCCUGACCUGCCGGCCCAGGCCGCACCUGAUCUCUGCUCCCUUCUCUGCCUGCCCAUCAUGACUUUCAGUGGAGCUCUGCCCUAG